AGUGAACGCUGGCGGUAGGCCUAACACAUGCAAGUCGAACGGCAGCACAGAGGAGCUUGCUCCUUGGGUGGCGAGUGGCGGACGGGUGAGGAAUACAUCGGAAUCUACUCUGUCGUGGGGGAUAACGUAGGGAAACUUACGCUAAUACCGCAUACGACCUACGGGUGAAAGCAGGGGAUCUUCGGACCUUGCGCGAUUGAAUGAGCCGAUGUCGGAUUAGCUAGUUGGCGGGGUAAAGGCCCACCAAGGCGACGAUCCGUAGCUGGUCUGAGAGGAUGAUCAGCCACACUGGAACUGAGACACGGUCCAGACUCCUACGGGAGGCAGCAGUGGGGAAUAUUGGACAAUGGGCGCAAGCCUGAUCCAGCCAUACCGCGUGGGUGAAGAAGGCCUUCGGGUUGUAAAGCCCUUUUGUUGGGAAAGAAAUCCAUCUGGUUAAUACCCGGGUGGGUUGACGGUGCCCAAAGAAUAAGCACCGGCUAACUUCGUGCCAGCCGCCGCAGUAA
rnacentral:rRNA from 1 species